AAAAAAGACAAACUUGAUUCCCAUGUCCAACGUUUGACCGUUCGUUUUAUUUGAAAAAAUUAUGAAAAAAAAUUAAAAAGAUAAGUCACGCAUAAAGUAUUAAUCAUUUUUUAUCAUCUAACAAACAUAAAAAUACUAAUUAUAAAAAAAUUUUAUAUAAGAUGGACAGUCAAACAUUGGCACAGGAACCCAUGGUUUAUCUUUUU
rfam:Oryza glaberrima chromosome 1 Oglab01_0070_30, whole genome shotgun sequence.